GAUAGGGUGGUUGAGGAUUAGACAAUAGAUUGUAAAUCUAUUUACGGGGUUGAAUUUGCGCCCCCCUUAUCA
rnacentral:tRNA from 1 species